AUUGAACGCUGGCGGCAUGCCUUACACAUGCAAGUCGAACGGCAGCACGGGUGCUUGCCCCUGGUGGCGAGUGGCGAACGGGUGAGUAAUACAUCGGAACAUGUCCUGUAGUGGGGGAUGGCCCGGCGAAAGCCGGAUUAAUACCGCAUACGAUCUACGGAUGAAAGCGGGGGACCUUCGGGCCUCGCGCUAUAGGGUUGGCCGAUGGCUGAUUAGCUAGUUGGUGGGGUAAAGGCCUACCAAGGCGACGAUCAGUAGAUGGUCUGAGAGGACGACCAGCCACACUGGGACUGAGACACGGCCCAGACUCCUACGGGAGGCAGCAGUGGGGAAUUUUGGACAAUGGGCGAAAGCCUGAUCCAGCAAUGCCGCGUGUGUGAAGAAGGCCUUCGGGUUGUAAAGCACUUUUGUCCGGAAAGAAAUCCUUGGCUCUAAUACAGUCGGGGGAUGACGGUACCGGAAGAAUAAGCACCGGCUAACUACGUG
rnacentral:rRNA from 1 species